CCUGAGCUCCCCCGCCACUGCAUCUCCUUGCUGCUUUUGUGUUCUCCAGCCCUCCAUAGCCAGCCUUAAGGACCUCAAAGGGAAGUGGCGACUGGUGGAAAGCCACGCUUUGAGGACUACAUGAAGGAGCUAGGAGUAGAUCUGGCUCUUAGGAAGAUGGGUGCCAUGGCCAAACCAGACUGCAUCAUUACCUGUGACGGCAACAACAUCACCGUCAAAACCGAGAGCACAGUGUAGACGACCGUGUUUUCUUACACCCUGGGAGAGAAAUUUAAUGAAAACACAGCUGAUGGCUGGAAAACUGAGAUGGUCUACACCUUCGCAGUCGGUGCCCUGGUCCAGCACCAGAAGGGAAAGAAAGCACGAUAACGAGAAAACUGAAGGACCGGAAGAUGGUGGUGGAAUGUGUCAUGAUCAAUGCCAUCUGUACUCGAAGGUACAAUGAGGACUGGCUAACUGGUCACCCUGGACAGGAGUCAGCUGCCCAUGGGAAUAAUCUCAAUUCAAUGAGCAGGUCAUACAGAACCACACUGCCUCACUUCUUUGGUUUUAUUUUUCAUGACUGUUCGUCAUAGGCAAUUUACCUGAAACCCGUGUCAACCAUUGGUUUACCCAGGAUCAUUCCUUUGGUUAGUAAAUAAAUGUGUUUGUGCUAAAAAC
rnacentral:lncRNA from 1 species